UUGAACGCUGGCGGCAGGCCUAACACAUGCAAGUCGCGCGGAUGAAGGGAGCUUGCUCCUGGAUUCAGCGGCGGACGGGUGAGUAAUGCCUAGGAAUCUGCCUGGUAGUGGGGGACAACGUCCGGAAACGGGCGCUAAUACCGCAUACGUCCUGAGGGAGAAAGUGGGGGAUCUUCGGACCUCACGCUAUCAGAUGAGCCUAGGUCGGAUUAGCUAGUUGGUGGGGUAAAGGCCUACCAAGGCGACGAUCCGUAACUGGUCUGAGAGGAUGAUCAGUCACACUGGAACUGAGACACGGUCCAGACUCCUACGGGAGGCAGCAGUGGGGAAUAUUGGACAAUGGGCGAAAGCCUGAUCCAGCCAUGCCGCGUGUGUGAAGAAGGUCUUCGGAUUGUAAAGCACUUUAAGUUGGGAGGAAGGGCAGUAAGUUAAUACCUUGCUGUUUUGACGUUACCAACAGAAUAAGCACCGGCUAACUUCGUG
rnacentral:rRNA from 1 species